UACACUCCUACGGGAGGCAGCAGUGGGGAAUAUUGGACAAUGGGCGCAAGCCUGAUCCAGCCAUGCCGCGUGAGUGAUGAAGGCCCUAGGGUUGUAAAGUUCUUUCACCGGUGAAGAUAAUGACGGUAACCGGAGAAGAAGCCCCGGCUAACUUCGUGCCAGCAGCCGCGGUAAUACGAAGGGGGCUAGCGUUGUUCGGAUUUACUGGGCGUAAAGCGCACGUAGGCGGACUAUUAAGUCAGGGGUGAAAUCCCGGGGCUCAACCCCGGAACUGCCUUUGAUACUGGUAGUCUUGAGUUCGAGAGAGGUGAGUGGAAUUCCGAGUGUAGAGGUGAAAUUCGUAGAUAUUCGGAGGAACACCAGUGGCGAAGGCGGCUCACUGGCUCGAUACUGACGCUGAGGUGCGAAAGCGUGGGGAGCAAACAGGAUUAGAAACCCUUGUAGUCCCAUG
rnacentral:rRNA from 1 species